AACAGGAUUAGAUACCCUGGUAGUCCACGCCGUAAACGAUGUCGACUUGGAGGUUGUGCCCUUGAGGCGUGGCUUCCGGAGCUAACGCGUUAAGUCGACCGCCUGGGGAGUACGGCCGCAAGGUUAAAACUCAAAUGAAUUGACGGGGGCCCGCACAAGCGGUGGAGCAUGUGGUUUAAUUCGAUGCAACGCGAAGAACCUUACCUACUCUUGACAUCCAGAGAACUUAGCAGAGAUGCUUUGGUGCCUUCGGGAACUCUGAGACAGGUGCUGCAUGGCUGUCGUCAGCUCGUGUUGUGAAAUGUUGGGUUAAGUCCCGCAACGAGCGCAACCCUUAUCCUUUGUUGCCAGCGGUUAGGCCGGGAACUCAAAGGAGACUGCCAGUGAUAAACUGGAGGAAGGUGGGGAUGACGUCAAGUCAUCAUGGCCCUUACGAGUAGGGCUACACACGUGCUACAAUGGCAUAUACAAAGAGAAGCGACCUCGCGAGAGCAAGCGGACCUCAUAAAGUAUGUCGUAGUCCGGAUUGGAGUCUGCAACUCGGCUCCAUGAAGUCGGAAUCGCUAGUAAUCGUGGAUCAGAAUGCCACGGUGAAUACGUUCCCGGGCCUUGUACACACCGCCCGUCACACCAUGGGAGUGGGUUGCAAAAGAAGUAGGUAGCUUAACCUUCGGGAGGGCGCUUACCACUUUGUGAUUCAUGACUGGGGUGCAGUCGUAACAAGGUAACC
rnacentral:rRNA from 1 species